CAAAAAAUAGUUUAUAAGAAUAUAAAUUUUGGAAAUUUAAGGUAUAAUAUAAAAUAUUUUUUUGA
rnacentral:tRNA from 1 species